GAUGAACGCUGGCGGCGUGCCUAAUACAUGCAAGUCGAGCGAACGGACGAGAAGCUUGCUUCUCUGAUGUUAGCGGCGGACGGGUGAGUAACACGUGGAUAACCUACCUAUAAGACUGGGAUAACUUCGGGAAACCGGAGCUAAUACCGGAUAAUAUUUUGAACCGCAUGGUUCAAAAGUGAAAGGCGGUCUUGCUGUCACUUAUAGAUGGAUCCGCGCUGCAUUAGCUAGUUGGUAAGGUAACGGCUUACCAAGGCAACGAUGCAUAGCCGACCUGAGAGGGUGAUCGGCCACACUGGAACUGAGACACGGUCCAGACUCCUACGGGGGGCAGCAGUAGGGAAUCUUCCGCAAUGGGCGAAAGCCUGACGGAGCAACGCCGCGUGAGUGAUGAAGGUCUUCGGAUCGUAAAACUCUGUUAUUAGGGAAGAACAUAUGUGUAAGUAACUGUGCACAUCUUGACGGUACCUAAUCAGAAAGCCACGGCUAACUACGUG
rnacentral:rRNA from 1 species